UACGUAGGGGGCGAGCGUUGUCCGGAGUUACUGGGCGUAAAGGGCCCGCAGGCGGUGCUGCGCGUUUGCACUGACAGGUGCCAGCUUAACUGGCAGAGGGGUGCAAAGACGGCAGGACUUUGAGGACCAGAGAGGGACAUGGAACUCCAGGUGUAGUGGUGAAAUGCGCAGAUAUCGGGAGGAACACCGGUGGCGAAGGCGGUUCUCUGGGCCUGACCUGACGCUGAGGAGCGAAAGCGUGGGGAGCGAACAGG
rnacentral:rRNA from 1 species